rnacentral:rRNA from 1 species
GAGCGGUAAGAGAAGCUUGCUUCUCUUGAGAGCGGCGGACGGSUGAGUAAUGCCUAGGAAUCUGCCUGGUAGUGGGGGAUAACGUUCGGAAACGGACGCUAAUACCGCAUACGUCCUACGGGAGAAAGCAGGGGACCUUCGGGCCUUGCGCUAUCAGAUGAGCCUAGGUCGGAUUAGCUAGUUGGUGAGGUAAUGGCUCACCAAGGCGACGAUCCGUAACUGGUCUGAGAGGAUGAUCAGUCACACUGGAACUGAGACACGGUCCAGACUCCUACGGGAGGCAGCAGUGGGGAAUAUUGGACAAUGGGCGAAAGCCUGAUCCAGCCAUGCCGCGUGUGUGAAGAAGGUCUUCGGAUUGURAAGCACUUUAAGUUGGGAGGAAGGGCAGUUACCUAAUACUGUGAUUGUUUUGACGUUACCGACAGAAUAAGCACCGGCUAACUCUGUGCCAGCAGCCGCGGUAAUACAGAGGGUGCAAGCGUUAAUCGGAAUUACUGGGCGUAAAGCGCGCGUAGGUGGUUUGUUAAGUUGGAUGUGAAAUCCCCGGGCUCAACCUGGGAACUGCAUUCAAAACUGACUGACUAGAGUAUGGUAG